CGAAUAUUGAAGAGAGAGAAAGAGUCAAAUACUCCUCUAAAGACUCGACGGAUCAUAUUUUAAAUAAUACAACAAGGUUUAUGACGGAUAAUGUAAUGCCUAGCUUUACCGUGAAGGGGAAAAGGAGAAAAUGACUUUCCAAAAGCAGUUUUUCAAGGUGUUCAAGCAAGUGUCACUGUGUUUACUGCUACUGAACAUGAGGUUGAUGGGGCAAUUGGAUCCUGUCUGAAGUACGCUCCAGACAGACAAGGAGGUGGAGGACGACGAACUAUUUACACAAGUUAAUUAACAUACAUCUCUAAACUUUCAAUUAACAAUGUGUCAUUUUAAUAAUUUAAUGUGCCUUUAUCAUUCAAUACUUUUAGUGUCUGUACAGAUUUGUUGUGAAAAUAAAACUUGUACAUCCUCUGAGUUGUUUGUUAAUUAA